UACGGAGGGGGCUAGCGUUGUUCGGAAUUACUGGGCGUAAAGCGCACGUAGGCGGCUUUGUAAGUUAGAGGUGAAAGCCCAGGGCUCAACCCUGGAAUUGCCUUUAAGACUGCAUCGCUUGAAUCAUGGAGAGGUGAGUGGAAUUCCGAGUGUAGAGGUGAAAUUCGUAGAUAUUCGGAAGAACACCAGUGGCGAAGGCGGCCAACUGGACGAAUACUGACGCUGAGACACGAAAGCGUGGGGAGCAAACAGG
rnacentral:rRNA from 1 species